rnacentral:lncRNA from 1 species
UUUGCCUUUCUCCUGGAAGAGUGCAGACACACAUUACGCGAAACCCACAGCCUUUUGCGAGAUACACGGCUCGAAACGCUCUCGUUUAUUUAUACAGCCCCUCCACCCUCUGCUCUUCCCACCCGUCCCCAAAUUCCCUAGAAAUCCAGCUAAGGCGUGGGGAAGAAGGGAAAGCGUUUUUCUCGUGGGGGGGAAUUAUUUAUUUUCGUUUUGUUUGGGGAUUGUUUUGGUUUGUUGUUUUCUUUCUUUUUUUUUUUCUUUGCAUACAAAAAUAAGUGAAGAAGAUUUUGCAAGGUGCGGCCGGGCCGUCGAGGCCGAGCAAUCCCCGGGAGCAGCGGGAGCAGCGGGGCCGUGGCCAGGGAAUGUGGCACAGCCCCUGCUUCGGACAGAAAGACAGCCGUCCAAAGGAAAUGAGCAUCAGUUCUCAGGUAACGUGCUGUUACUCAUUGCUUUUGACAUAGAAAGAAAAUAACUUUUCUGUUCGGAUUAAAUAAUACCUGACCCUUUGGCCUUCUCGGUUUUGUAGUUUGUCGGUGACAUUUUGCACAAGCCCAAAGAUUUUUGUUUUAUUUUGGGAGAGGUGAGGAGGCAAAGUGUUGUGAGGGAGGGCACUAAAUAUGAAGUCCUUCUGAGGUCUGGUCAGUUGCAUGAGAAUAGCAGUGCUGAUUGUGUUGUACUGGAUUUUCCCAUUAAAACAUGUAAACAAUAGGAUGUUAUAGAAAGAUAGAUGUAUUUGUUAGCUGUGGUGUGUGUUUCAGUUCCCCUUGUAUUAGAAUACCAGAUAAAUUUGAAGUGGUUGCUGUAAUUUGUGGUUGGUCAAAGACAGGGCUAAAAAAAAUAGUUCUUUCUAAUUGUUUGUGGCUUUAUUAUAUUCACAAAUAUAUUUGAUGUCGUAGCAAUUAAAAAUAGUCUGUUUUGAUUAAUUUGAAGGAAAGAUACUUGUUUUUAAAGCAUGCUGGUUAAUUAAGCAAGAGUCAGUAAAUGGCAUAAAGCUAUAGAUAGGAUGCUUUCUGAUAAUAUGCAAUUCCUUGAGGUCAAAUUAGUCAUUAAGUAAAAUUUUCUGAUCAGGAAAGAGGCUAUAUUUCUAAGAGGUUGUAUACUUUGUGUGAGCUUAUUAUACACCAACAGAGAGAGGAGCUGUGUUAAAGUGUUGGACGUGCUGUUGUAUUACGGUUCAUAACUUAUUCUAUCUGGUCUGGAUUGUUUAUUUAACUCUGAUAAUUUAGACAAGAGAGAAAUGUAAAUUCCAUUUACCAAAUUGGUGUUUGUAGCAUUUAAAAAAGAGAGAGAUUAAAAAUGGCUUGAAAUCUCUAAAAUCUAUAAUGUUGCUCUGCAGCCUUUUAAAAGGCAAAAAUUCAAAUAAUAAUAUUUCCACUACCAAAAUAAUAUACAAUAUUUAAGAACAAUAGAAAUUGUUGUUAGAAGGACUUUGAAAUAAACAAUACGUUCAGAUAGAGAGUUAGGUAUUU